rnacentral:rRNA from 1 species
UACGUAGGCGGCCUUAUAAGUUGGAUGUGAAAUCCCCGAGCUUAACUUGGGAAUUGCAUUCAAAACUGUAAAGCUAGAGUAUGGGAGAGGAUGGUAGAAUUCCAGGUGUAGCGGUGAAAUGCGUAGAGAUCUGGAGGAAUACCGAUGGCGAAGGCAGCCAUCUGGCCUAAUACUGACGCUGAGGUACGAAAGCAUGGGGAGCAAACAGGAUUAGAUACCCCCGUA